AGUUUCUCCUAUGGUGCUGUUCUGACUGAUGUAACCAAGACUAAGCUUCACAUUCCGAAUAAUCCAUUAAUUUCUAUGCAAGAUGUGGAAGUCUGGAGACUAAUUUUUGUAGCCUGCUGCAGUGAUGAAAUUAGAACAUUACUGUGGAAAUGUGGCAUGACUUUAGUAACUGUCUUGUGGCUUUGCAGAAAGCCAUGAAACAUUGGGGAAUAUUGGAGAUGUUUUCAAGGAAAGGAAAAAGGAGACUCAGUACAAAAGGAAUCCAGUGACACUGUGCAAAGUGAGAAUCCAGUAAUGGAAGACAUGUCAAUUAAUCAAAUUCCCAGAGGCUAAGGCAGUUUGAUUUCUCAUGUAACUGCCUGCACUCAAAUUAUGGCUGAUAUAGUGUAGCUACAUGCAUAAAGGUAAAACUUACUCUUCUGUCAAUAUGUGUUUGAUUUUUGAACCCAUGUUCUGUGAUU